CCCUCGCUGCCCUCAGCGGGCGCGGCCCGCCGCGCUUCUAACGUCGCCUGGUGGCGGGGAGGACCCGGCGCCGACGGCGCCGCCGCUACCCAGGCGCCCACGCGGCGGCCGGCACCGGCGCCCCUCGCCGCGGCUGCCGUUACGGGCCUUCCGCCCCGCCCCUCGGCCCGCAGCACCAGGAGGCUGCAGCGAGGCGCUGGGGCACCUGCGGCUGGACUGACCAAGCCUUUCGGUGUCUGAGCCCAGCAGUGAGGGCCAGCACUUCCCGCACACGGGUGUGUCGCAGCCGGCAUCUCUGAGCAGGCAAUGCCGUGGCGGUGCAACAAGGAGUCAGAAAUGCUCAGCCAUGAGCCUCCGUGAGGAGCAUGAACAUCCACCCCCAGGUGAGGAGCGUCAGACCAUGCAGGAGCUGCAGGAACUCUCAGGGACAGAGGAGCCCAAGCAGGGCUGUCUGGGAUGGCCAGUGCAAACGCCCCUGCAUCGCCCCAGCACUGGCUCUCGGACGCUGCUGCCUGCGCGCAGAGCCUGGGACAGCGUGUCCGGCAGCAGGGGCUGCAUCCCGGCCCCCCUCACCCCCGCGGGGACCUCGGAGGCGCUUCCUGGGGCUGCUGACACCACGCAAUGGCCUCGCGCCUCCUUUCUGCACUCCGCAGUGAAGCCGGGAGCACCGCGGCGCAGAGAGGCAGUGUGAGGUUUGUUUCCUCCGGGACAGAAGCCACCCGGCUCCCUGCUCGCAGCAGGACGAUGCCUCCGCUCGCCGCCCUGCGCGGGGCCCUGCUCCUGGCUGGGGACGACCUGCCUGCGCCCGCCUGGCUCUGGGCCUCCUUGGGAACCUGCUGGGAGCACAGCAGGGGCUCCUCACAGCUCAGCUCUGGCUCCUUAGGGCUUGGCCUCAUUACAGCAAUGGUGGUGACUGACAAGGUCGUAAAUCAAUCACUGUCACAGCUUGCAUAUUAAUAUCAUAAUUUAAUAUUUCAUACAUAUUGCACAGUUAGUUUAUUAACAGUGUACAUACGCCAUACACACAUUGAAUAAAGAGUCCAAGUAUUGUACAAAUGGGGAAUAAACAGGGGAACUGGAA